AAGAAAUGGAGGAUUAUUCAUCCAUCUUCUUUCUCAUCUUCAUCCUCUUCCUUCUCUCCUCCUCAUCCUAAAUGGCUACUAAAUCCUCAAAAGAAAAACCUACACCCCUUCCCCUCCAAAGCUCCCAAUCAUCGGCCAUCUCCACCGCUCGGCACACACCAUCACCGCUCCCUUCAAUCCCUAUCACGCCCGCUACGGCCCCAUCAUGCUCCUCAAACUAGGAAGUUCUCCGGCUGUUGUGAUAUCUUCGCCGCCGCCGCUAACGAGAUCAUGAAAACACACGACCCUAGUAUCGCCAACCGCCCCGAUUUCAAGUCAACCACAAGCUCUCUAUACGACUGCAAAGAUAUCUCAGUGGCCCCCUUACGGAGAAUACUGGCGGCAGUUGAAGGUAUCUGCGUUCUUCAGUUGUCUGAGCAACCACAAAGUCAAAUCAUUUAGGUCUGUAAGGGAAGAAGGGAUCUUGUUGCUGAUUGAAAAGAUCGGAGAAUCGAGAAUGAAGAACAUCACGGUGAAUCUGAGUGAGAUGUUCUCCGAAGAUAGCUAAUGAUGUGGUGUGUAGGCGUCAUCUCGGGGAAAAUAUGAUGAGGGAGAGAAGGGGAGGAGAUUCAACAUGUUUUGAAAGAGUUUCUAAUGUUGUUGGGGACGGUGAAUGUCGAGGAUCUCUUACCGGGCUUAGUUGGAUCAAUAAGGUCAAUGGUCGGAAAACCGCCGUAGACAGGGGUGGCGGAGGAGAUGAACAAGUUCAUAGAGGAGGUUGUGGAGGAGAAGAUACAAAAAGAAAGGAUGAGAAAGUGGACGAUCAUGAUUUUGUUGAUAUUCUCUUAAGGGUUCAUCCUGAGUCAAGAAGUUGGUGUAUCUAUUGAGAGGGAUAGUGUGAAAGCCAUAAUCUUGGAUAUAUUUUCGGCUGGAACAGAUACAACAUCAACCAUCUUAGAAUGGGCGAUGACAGAACUCAUAAGAAACCCUUAAAGUAAUGAAGGAGUUACAAAAUGAGGUAAGAAAAGUUGGUAAUGGAAAAAUCAUGAUAACGAAGACGAUAUAGAAAAUAUGCCUUACUUAAGAGCCGUCAUAAAAGAAACUCUACGUUAUCACGUUCCUAUUCCACUUCUAUUGCCAAGGGUAGCGAGUCAAGAUGUGAAUGUCAUGGGCUAUGACAGAGAGGCAGGCACGAUCGUUCUUCAUCAACGGAUGGGCCAUAGCUGAGAUCCACUCUCGUGGAAGAUCCGGAAGAGUUUAAGCCCGAGAGGUUUCUCAACUGUGACGUUGAUUAUAAGGGGCAUCAUUUCGAGUUGAUCCCAUUUGGAGCGGGCAGAAGAGGUUGUCCGGGGAUUUCAUUUGGUAUCGCUACCAAAUGAGCUCACACUAGCCAACGUUGUCAACAAAUUCAAUUGGGAGUUGCCCGAUGGAAAAGAUGGUGAGGACUUAGACGUUGAGAAUGUAUUGGCGUCACGGUUCACGUAAAACCCAUCUUAUAGCUAUGGUAACUUAAAUGAAUCUUCUUAUCGGUAAUAAUCAUACAUUAUAUGUUUUAUUUUGCUGUGACCAUUUUGUAAUGGAGUGAUUUAUAUAUUAAC